rnacentral:rRNA from 1 species
CCUACGGGGGGCAGCAGUGGGGAAUAUUGGACAAUGGGCGAAAGCCUGAUCCAGCCAUGCCGCGUGUGUGAAGAAGGCCUUCGGGUUGUAAAGCACUUUCAGUGGGGAAGAAAGCCUUGGGGCUAAUACCCUCGAGGAAGGACAUCACCCACAGAAGAAGCACCGGCUAACUCCGUGCCAGCAGCCGCGGUAGUACGGAGGGUGCGAGCGUUAAUCGGAAUUACUGGGCGUAAAGCGCGCGUAGGCGGUCUGAUAAGCCGGUUGUGAAAGCCCCGGGCUCAACCUGGGAACGGCAUCCGGAACUGUCAGGCUAGAGUGCAGGAGAGGAAGGUAGAAUUCCCGGUGUAGCGGUGAAAUGCGUAGAGAUCGGGAGGAAUACCAGUGGCGAAGGCGGCCUUCUGGACUGACACUGACGCUGAGGUGCGAAAGCGUGGGUAGCAAACAGGAUUAGAUACCCGAGUAGUC